rnacentral:rRNA from 1 species
UCUUAAAUGCAUUAUUAAUUUAAUUUUUUUUUUAAUUAAUUAUUUUAAUUAAAAUAUUAUUAUUAUUAUUACUUAAUUUAUUAAUAUAUAAAAAUUAAUUUAAAUUAUAUUAUUAGUAUAGAAAUAGAAAAAAUUAAAUUUUUUAAAAUUUUUUUAAAAAAUUACCUUUUGUAUCAGGGUUGAUUAAAAUAUAUUAAAAUAUUUUAUUUUCUUGAAAAUAAUAGAUUUAAUUUAUUAUUAAAUUUUUUGUUAAAUUAAAAUUUUUAAUUUUAAAUUGGUAAUUAAAUGUUAUUCGUUAUUAUUUAUAUCUAGUUAUUUUAUAAAUAAAUUUAAUUUAUUAAAUUAAAUUUAUAAAGAUUAAUUUUUUAAUUUUUAUUAUUUUUUUAAUUAAUAAUUUAAGGGAUAAACUUUAAAUUAAUUUUAAUAAAUUUAUUUAAUAAAUUAAAUAUUUAAAAUUAAUAGUUUUUAUAGUUUUAUAGUGUUUAAUAAUUAUUUAAUUUUUAAUAAGAUUUAAUAUUUAUUUUUAGUUAAUUAUAAAAUAAAAAAUUUUAAUAAUUAUAUUUUUAUUAUAAUGAUUAAAUUAGUAAAUUUUUAAAUAUUAAAUAUAAUAAAUUUUAAUUUUUUUUAAUGAAUUCGGCAAUAAUUAUUAUUCAACUGUUUAUUAAAAACAUAGUUUAUUGAUUUUAAUAAUAAAUGUUUUCUGCUCAAUGAAUUUUAAAUAGCUGCAGUAUUUUGACUGUACAAAGGUAGCAUAAUCAUUUGGCUUUUUAUUAAGGUCUGGAAUGAAUGAAUGAAUGAAAUAAUAUCUGUUUUAAAUUAAUUAAUUAAAUUUUAUUUUAAGUUAAAAUUCUUAAAUAUUUAAAAAAGACGAGAAGACCCUAUAGAAUUUAAUAAUUUAUAUUUAUAAAUUAAAUUUAUAAAAUUUAAUUAUUUUUAUUAUUAUUUUGUUGGGGUUAUAUAAAAAUUUAAAUAAAUUUUUAAUUUUUUUUACAUUAAUAUAUGAAUUAAAAAUCUUUAUUAUAAAAUUUAAAUUAAAUUACCUUAGGGAUAACAGCGUAAUAUUUUUAGAGAGAUCAUAUUGAAAAAAAUGUUUGCGACCUCGAUGUUGAAUUAAGAUAAAUUUUUAAUGUAGAAGUUAAAUUUAUUAAGUCUGUUCGACUUUUAAAAUCUUACAUGAUUUGAGUUUAAAUCGGUGUGAACCAGAUUGGAUUCUAUCUUUUUAAAAAAAUUAUUUAUUUGUACGAAAGGACUUUAUAUAAUUAAUAAUUAAUAUAAAUUUAAUAAAUUAUUUUAUUACUUUGACAGAAUAGUGUAUUAAGUUUAGAAUUUAAAAAUAAAUAUUUAUGAAUAUUUAAGUAA